CAAUAGCGUAUAUUAAAGUUGUUGCAGUUAAAAAGCUCGUAGUUGGAUUUGUGGCGUAUGGUGUGUUCCGGGCACUUGUUGUCUGAGUAACUUGCCAUUGCCAUCCUUGGGUGGAACCUGUGUGGCAUUAGGUUGUCGUGCAGGGGAUGCCCAUCGUUUACUGUGAAAAAAUUAGAGUGUUCAAAGCAGGCUUAUGCCAUUGAAUAUAUUAGCAUGGAAUAAUAAGAUAGGACUUUUUUGCUAUUUUGUUGGUUUGCGCGAGAAGGUAAUGAUUAAUAGGGAUAGUUGGGGGUAUUCGUAUUCCAUUGUCAGAGGUGAAAUUCUUGGAUUUUUGGAAGACGAACUACUGCGAAAGCAUUUACCAAGGAUGUUUUCAUUAA
rnacentral:rRNA from 1 species